rnacentral:lncRNA from 1 species
CCUUAUACAAAAAUUAAUUCAAGAUGGAUUAAAGACUUAAAUGUUAGACCUAAAACCAUAAAAACUCUAGAAGAAAACCCAGCCAAUUUCCUUGAUGAACAUUGAUGCAAAAAUCCUCAAUAAAAUACUGGCAAACCGAAUCUAGCAGCACAUCAAAAAGCUUAUCCACCAUGAUCAAGUGGGCUUCAUCCCUGAGAUGCAGGAAAAGAGGAAGUCAAAUUGUCCCUGUUUGCAGAUGACACUAUUGUAUAUCUAGAAAACCCCAUUGUCUCAGCCAAAAAUCUCCUUAAGCUGAUAAGCAACUUCAGCAAAUUCUCAGGAUAAAAAAUCAAUGUACAAAAAUCACAAGCAUUCUUAUACACCAAUAACAGACAAACAGACAGCCAAAUCAUGAGUGAACUCCCAUUCACAGUUGCUUCAAAGAGAAAAAAAUACCUAGGAAUCCAACUUACAAGGGAUGUGAAGGACCUCUUCAAGGAGA